GGUUGCCAAAGGCUCAGUGCUGAUGAUGGAAAACCCUUCAUAUUCUUCUUCAUCUUUGCUGCCUGCGGGGCGAGUCUGGGGGGACAGCUGGCUCCGAGGCAGGGUGGACCGCUGUGGAUUGUUACACUCAGGAUGGCCAGAGAAAACUGCUGCGCUCUUCAGGGGUUGCUACACCCGCUGGAAGCCCUCCCGCACAAGGCUGCCAGCUGGGGCUUCGGCCAGACCGCACAGGCCAGUAGGAAGAUCAGAUGGUCGGAGACCAAGUUGGGAAGGGCCUACAUAGUGCUGAGAGUUAGACUCCUCCAAAUGCCUGAGUUAGAUCUACAUUUUGUUAAAAGCACAUUUUUAAAAACCUGCUAAGUGGUAUCUUGAAAUAGAGCUGUUUGUGUCACUGC